rnacentral:rRNA from 1 species
AUACGGAGGGGGUUAGCGUUGUUCGGAAUUACAGGGCGUAAAGCGCACGUAGGCGGACUGGAAAGUUGGGGGUGAAAUCCCGGGGCUCAACCCCGGAACUGCCUCCAAAACUUCCAAUCUAGAGAUCGUGAGAGGUGAGUGGAAUUCCAAGUGUAGAGGUGAAAUUCGUAGAUAUUUGGAGGAACACCAGUGGCGAAGGCGGCUCACUGGCUCGAUACUGACGCUGAGGUACGAAAGUGUGGGGAGCAAACAGGAUUAGAUACCCUAGUAGUCC